rnacentral:lncRNA from 1 species
GAGACAGGAAUGUGCUGACCGUGGUGGCUGAGAGGCUACAGGAGGCACUCUUUGAAGGGAAGUUAAAGACAAAGAGGAAGAGGCUGUAUUUCAUUCUCCCAGAUGGCUCCUGCCAGCCUCCAGAGAAAAGGCAGCUUUCUUCUUUAGAAAAUUGGCAGGACAAAAGAAGGAAGUCGACUUGGAAAGUCCAGCGACAGACCUCGUGCCCCUGCUCUGGGAGGCCGCAGGUCAAUGGCUCCCCCUGGCUUCAGGGGACACAGCUCAAGCCUGGAAGGAGCCCAUGGCCAGCCUGAAAGCCUUGCUCACACCCAGCAUCCGCAGCUGGGGCAAGAGCGGCUACUCCCAAGACAGGAAAAGACACACAGCCUAACUUUGCCACUGUGAAGGGAGACUUCUCUCUAAUGCCUAACUAGACACUUAUCUUCCAACCUCCUCAAAAUGCCUUCAAUAGAAGUCCCAGGAAGACACGGAGCCCCAGCCGCCCACUGACUCCUACAGGAUGCAGCUGCGCCAGGCAGCCCAUCCCAGGGGGCCCAGGCCAAAGAGGGGCCAGGGUGCUUCCCCUGAGAAUGAAAAGGGAUGUCGGGUAGAGGGGGAGGGUGAUGUGGGACUCGCUGGUGGCUGUUAAAGGAGCUCGCGUCUCGGUUCCUGCAGGAAAAGUGCUUUGAGCACUCGCCUGGCCUGGUGAAGAAGGAAGGCAGUUGGCGGGCAUUUUUGGAAGCUCUCACCCCCCAUGCUGGUCCUGGUACCCCUUCUCCAGGGAUGCGGGGCCCACAUUCAUCACAGUGGGGUUCCAUAGAUGAUGGUCCUGUCAUAUCAGGGUUCCCAUUGAAGGGGGCCCUUUUUGGCACUUUCUUUUAUUCCAUUAGUCUGUUUGCCUGGUCACACAUUUUAUUGCUUUUUCCCGCAAAAGAAUCAAUGUGGGAAUUUAUUUAUUUAUUUAUUGAGACGGAGUCUCACUCUGUCACCCAGGCUGGAGUGCAGUGGUGCAAUCUCAGCUCACUGCAACCUCCGCCUCCCUGGUUCAAGCAAUUCUCCUGCCUCAGCUUCCCAAGUAGCUGGAAUUACAGGCAUCUGCCACCAUGCCCGGCUAAUUUUUUGUAUUUUUUGUAUUUUUUUUUUUUUCUGAGAUGGAGUCUCUCUGUGUUGCCUAAGCUGGAGUACAGUGGCGUGAUCUCAGCUCAUUGCAACUUCUGCCUCCCAGGUUCAAGCAAUUCUUCCUGCCUCAGCCUCCCAAGUAGGUGGAAUUACAGGUGCCCACUACCAUGCCUGGCUAAUUUUUGUAUUUUUUAGUAGAGACGGGAUUUCACCACAUUGGCCAGAUUGGUCUUGAACUCCUGACCUCAUGAUCCACCUACCUUGGCCUCCCAAAGUGCUGGGAUUACAGGUGUGAGCCACUGCACCUGGCUGAUUUUUUAUAUUUUUAGUAGAGACGGGUUUCACCAUGUUAGCCAGGAUGGUCGCAAUCUCCUGACCUCGUGAUCCACCCACCUUGGCCUCCCAAAGUGCUGGGAUUACAGGUGUGAGCCACUGCGCCCAGCCAGGAAUUUAUUUUUAAAUUAAAUUUGAUUUAUUUAGUUUCCUAACCCUUUUAUUGUUUUUAGGCAAUUUUUUGAAGUAUAAUAUGAAUAAGAAAAUUAUGGUGAAUUGUUACAGCAUCGAGACCUCCAAGACCAGGACAUAGAACAAUCCCAGCCCCCAGAAACCUCCACCCCAUAAGGCUCCACAACCCCUCUUCUAACACACAGAUUACCUUCAGCUCUUCUUGAACUUCAUAUAAGUGUGAAACUCACCCAUGCUGUUGAACACAGCACUGUUUCAUUCAUGUAAGCGGCCUUAUAGUAUUCCAUUAUGUGAACGCAGUUUAUUAUCCGUUCUGUUAAUCACAGUAGUUUUUACCUGUUGUGAGUAAGGGUGUCACAAACAGCCUCAUGUGUACUUUGUGGCAGAUGGAAUUCUUGUACAGAUGUGGAACAUACACUGGAUUUGAAGUGCUGGGUUAUAGAGUAUGCACAUGCUCAGCUUUAUCAAACAGGGCUUAACAGCUUUUCAGAGUGGCUGUGCCAACUCACACUCUCCAACAGUCUAUGGGAGUUCCAGUUGCCCCACACCCUUGCCACCACUUGCAAUUGUCAGCUGUAAAUUUUAGCCAUUUUGUCGGGUGUAUAUUGGUAUUUUAUUGUGUUUUUGAUACUCGUUGCUCCCGCAAUCGUUGAAGUUGAGCACGGUUGUAUAUGCUUAUUGGCAAUUUGGAUACUGUCUUUGCGUUUUCAAAAAUUGGGUUUUUGUCUUUUAUUGAUUUGUAGAAUUUCUUUAUUCUGAAUUUGAGUUCUUAGUUGUGCUUGUGUGUGUGCACAUAGUAAACACACACACAGGUUAAAAUAAUUGGGAGAUCAUUAGAAUGAGAUGACCCCAGCGCCUUGGGUUUCAACUCAAGCAAACCAAAGUCCAUCUCAGUGUACAUGGUUAUAGUUCAGGUAAGCAGAAACCACCGGCUGAUCUCUAACACGGGGCUUUUGACUGGAAUGAUUUCUUUCCCUUUCUUUCUCUUUCUUUCUUUCUCUCUUUCUCUCUUUCUUUCUCUCUUUCUCUCUUCCUUUCUUUUUUUCUUUCCUAUCUUUCUGCCUUUCUUUCCUUCCUUCCUUCCAUCCUUCCAUCUCUUUCUUUUUCUUUUCUCUUUCUUUUCUUUCUCUCCCUCUCUCUUUCUUUCCUCCCUCCCUUUCUUCCUUCCUUCCUUCUUUCCUUCCUUCCCUUCCUCCUUCCCUCCUUCCCCUCCCUCCCUAAAAUUCAUAGAAUAAAAAAAUGCCUGAAUAGCCAAAGUAAUCCUAAGCAAAAAGAACAAAGCUGGAGGAAUCACAUUACCUGACUUCAAAUUAUCUUACAAGGCUAUGGUAACCAAAACAGCAUGGUAUUUAGGAUUGUUUUCCCAAUUCUUUGAAAAGCGAUGUUGGUAUCUUCAUAGGAAUUGCAUUGAAUCUGUAGAUUGCUUUGGGUAGUGUGGUCACUUUCACAAUAUUGAUUCUUCCAAUCCAUGAUCAUGGGAUGUAUUUCCGUUGGUUUGUGUCAUAUACAAUUUCUUUCAGCAGUGUUUGCUAGGUCUCCUUGUAGAGAUAUUUCACCUCUUGGUCAAGUUAUUUCUAGUUAUUUUAUUUUACUUUUUGCAGCUAUUGUAAAAGAGCUCGGGUUCUUGAUUUGAUUCUCAGCUUGGUCAUUGUUGGUGUAUAGCGGUGCUACUGAUUUGUGUACAUUGAUUUUGUAACCUGAGACUUCACUGAAUUCAUUUAUCAGCAAUUCAUUCAUUUUUAGAGGAUACUUGGUCCAUGCACAUGUCAGAGAUUGUUGUAAUGUUUCUUUCUUGCAAUGAUCUCAUCACAUUUUAAUCACAAAGUCAGGCUAGUCUUUUAAAUAAAGUUGCAAAGCAUUAAUCAUUUUUUCUCUUCUCUGGAAGAGUUUGUGUAAGAUUGGUGUUUUUUCUCCCACAAACGUUUGGAAGAAUGGUUUGCUGGUGGAGCCAACUGGACCUGAAGUUUUCUCUGUGGGAACAUUUUAAAUAAGAUUGUUCAGGACUCAUAAAUUUUUCUUGCAUCAGUUUUGGCAAGUUGUGUUUUUCAGAGUUUGUUCAAUUUUUCUAAAUUGUCAAAUUUAUUGGCAUAAAUUGUUCAGCAUAUUCUUUUAUUAUUAACUUAGUAUCUGUGGGAUCUUUAGUGAUGUCUCCAUUUUCAUUUUUGAUAUAGUUAAUGUUGGGAGAAAAGCUGAGUGUUGGGAGAAGCUGAGGCAGGGCUUGC